UAAUGAUUCAUCAGACUCAGAU
rnacentral:miRNA from 1 species